AAGUUCACUGUCAGCUAUUGUGAGUGAAGAAGGUGAACAUAGGGGAUAUUCUUAGACAUUAUGACCCUAUAGGCAAACCCUGCAUGAAAAAGGAAAAUCAGAGCCAUAGGCAAGAAGGCAGGAUUUAGUGAUGACAGAACAGCAGAGAUGCCCCGGGGCUACUAUACAGCCUGUUUUUCUAGGAGGAGCCUACCCUGGCCAUGUCACAGACGGUACCUCUUAAGGACUUCAACCAUAAGGCAUGAUCUGGAGGCUAUUUAGGGUUUGAGUGACAGAUAUGUACAGUGGAAACUUCUAGGAUGGAGCAGGUUUCAAUUUGUAUGUAGGUUUACUAAAUAGGUUUCCGUAUUUGCUAUACAGAGUGGUUUUUACUUUGAAUAUAAAUUAAAUACUUUAGCAAAGUUCUGCUGUGGAGAGCAAGAUAAUGUAGACAUCAGUGAAGCAUAGUAGUGUCUUAGAAUUUUGUUUUAAUUCUUGGCCUGGCCACCAGAUUAAGGUUGGAAUAUAAAGAACAAAGAUCCCAAGGGAGUAGUAAUCUGGGGUUCAGAUGACUUCUUUGGUCCUUGGGUUUUGACUAAGCUGGAACAGGAGGCUUUGGCAGCUGACGACUUCUCAAAAGCAGAAGCUAGUUGAACUGGAUAGGGGAUUUGUGCCACCUUUAUGAGCAUGUAAAGAACAGAGAUGGCAUGCAGACUCCUGAAGCGACAACUACUGUCACCAUGCCCUAGAAUGGCUCAGAGCUAGGAACAGGACAGUGACGCUUUGCAAGCAAAUGUGAGGAACAGGUGAGCCCAGCUAUGGGAUUGUACCUAAGAAUCUCUACAAUAAUUUGGAAGUACAUGAAUGCAGCAGCAUCUGUGGCCCCACUCACAGAAUAAUGACAUAAUCACAUCAGGAAGUUGGAGCACAUAAUAACUAAACAGAGAAGAGGCAUGUUACCCAUGUUGAAGCAAAGAUAGAGAGUACUGUGGUCGACAGCACGGUCUUUGCAGUAGCUCUGGAUCUGAGUCUUCUUUACAAUUAAUUACCUAUAUGACUGCAAAUAUAAUCCCUUUAAACCUCAAUUUCCUCAUGAGAAACAAGAACAUAGUAAUAUGAACUGUCCCAUUGGUAUGUUGUGGAGACGAAAUGCACUAAUAUAUAGAGUGCUUUAUACAACAGCAGCCAUAUAAUAAUCAAACAGUUGCUAAGACUAUUAUUCUUAAGCAUUGGAUUUGCAAUCUCUAGUGUAAUCUAUCUUAUCAAUAUUAUAUAUUAAUUACACUGUAUUACACAUUAUCCUACAUAUUAAUAUAAAAUAUGUAAAUGACUGUUAAUAUGCAUUUAAAUGCAAUAUUCAGCUUAUGGUAAGCAUCUAAUGAAUGUUCGUCAAAUUAAAAUGUUCUGAAAUUUAGGUAACUUAGAUGGAAAGCCUAGUGAUUCCACUGGGAGAUCCUGCAUGAUGGCCCUGCCCUGAAACAUGCACUAUGCAAAUCCUGGUAUUAGUAGUGGGAGAUGUUGGAAGUCAGGGUUUAUGAAGUUCAUCAGGAGGAGUGGCUCUACCUAUCAGCAACUAGUGGUGUGGUCAGUGAAAGUCGAGGGGGAGGAUGUCAGAAAAGAAAAUCACCAUGGUUACUCAGCAGAAUUUCUAGGGCUCAGAUCUCUCCAGUCACUGGGUAAGAUGUCAUGCAUACAGACCACGGUUUCUGCAGGACAAAACAGACAAAGAGAGAGGAAGAGAGAGGGGAGAGAAGAGAGAGAGAGAACAAAAAAAAAAAAAAAAA
rnacentral:lncRNA from 1 species